rnacentral:tRNA from 1 species
GAGAUAGGCAAUAAGUCACCAGGGUCUGCUAAACUCUGGAACCUCGGUUAAACUCCGGGGCUUUCUCA